GUCACGACCCCCGCCCCGUUCCCGGCGGGCCGCCGCGACGGUCCUAGGGUGCGGGUAGGCAUAAGGCCACCAGCCACCGCGUAGAACCUUACUACCUAUCAAUCAUCAAUAAAUCUUGAAAAAUUUGGCAUGAUACAUGCACAAAAUGAUCACUUUUCCUAUAGUGACCUGUCAGGAUUAUUUCAAUACAUACAACAACACUACCUGUCAGAGCAGCAAUCACAUAAUCUGUCACAUAAUGAACCUGGACAAUAUAUAUCAAUACUUUAUCUCAGGCAUAUAACUCAUCUGUAUAAAAAUCUGGUUCCCAUUCCAUCCAUGGUCAAACCCAUAUCUACAACAGGAUCUAUGACUGUAACUAUACACUAUAUACAACAGAAGGUUUAAAAUACACCAAAAGGUAUAAACCUCUAUCUACAUUAUACUAUACUAUACUAUGGAGCGGCACAGCUAGCAGGCAAUCUCUAACCCUGCUCUUCUCUAUACAAUACCUGCCCUGCAAUCAAAAAUAUCAAAUUGGGGAGUGAGUAUAUAAAUACUCAGUGAGUGGAAUAGAGAGUACUAUGCACAUGAGACAAGAUAUAAUCAUGGCUCGAGGUGAAAUCUCAAGAGCAAUAACUAGAUGAACAUGAUCUCAACAUAGAGAAUNNNNNNNNNNNNNNNNNNNNNNNNNNNNNNNNNNNNNNNNNNNNNNNNNNNNNNNNNNNNUAAUCAAGUAAACAUAUAUGCUACUCAUGAAUAUGCUCAACAGAUCAUAAUGCUGGAACAUACAAAUCAGGUGUCAAUAUGCUGAAAUCAUCACUAGACAGCUGUCGGGACGUGGGUUUUACGCUCCAGGCGAACCAGCAACAACUCCCUACUGUCACAUGCAUAUGCAGGAUAAGACACCAUAUCGAUAAUGUAAAUGCUAGACAGCUGUCGGAAGGUGGGUUUUACGCCCCAGGCGAACCAGCAACAACUUCCUACUGUCACAUGCAUAUGCAGGAUAAGACACCACACUAAUCCCGGCCAGUAUCCAGAACAGAAAUCCAUCUCACAUCUACAUACUAAACGGCACCUCGCGGGAAUUCUACAUCCGCAGAAAGCCAUACUGCACCUCGCGGGGUCUUACUAUGCCCGGCGGCAAGCAGAAUAUAAGUCGUAGGACUGGCCGAUCCUACGCCUAGGGCCGUGUCCCCCCUAGGAAGGGACUGGGCUCCGCCCACCCAGAAGGCUACUAUGUGCACAAAGGCCGAUGUUCAACCCCAUCGACUAUAGGUGUCCUACAGAUACUGCCAAGCCAUGCAUAAAUGCCAUAAUGCACCCUCCCAAUACUCUACUAAAAAGGAGUAUAAUCAAGACUACCACUCACUCGAUCAUGACCCAAUCAUAAACUAACAUCAGGGUUAGGAGUGAGGGUCAAGGAAGUGCAAUACAACUCAAUAUACCACUAAAAAGGCUCUACAAAUUUUUGAAAUAGAGGAAAUGAAAUCAAUUUACAAAAGAAAUCAUUUCACAAUUCAGAAUCAAUUUGAUUACUCAUCAACCCCUCGUAAUUCCUCUCAAUAUUCCCUCAAAUGCAUGUACAAAAUAAUCAAGCAUAGAGAAUCAAGAUUGUAGAGAAAUCUACUACAACAAUUAAUCAAUAAGCUCAGGUGGAAUCAAGUCACACUUGGCAACAUUCAUGAAAAUGAAUAAAGAAUGUGCUCAUGGUGCAAAGUACGAGCUCCCAC
rnacentral:lncRNA from 1 species